GAUGAACGCUAGCGGCAGGCUUAACACAUGCAAGUCGAGGGGUAUUUAUCUUCGGAUAGAGAGACCGGCGCACGGGUGCGUAACGCGUAUGCAAUCUACCUUUUACAGAGGGAUAGCCCAGAGAAAUUUGGAUUAAUACCUCAUAGUAUAUAGACUCGGCAUCGAGAUUAUAUUAAAGUCACAACGGUAAAAGAUGAGCAUGCGUCCCAUUAGCUAGUUGGUAAGGUAACGGCUUACCAAGGCUACGAUGGGUAGGGGUCCUGAGAGGGAGAUCCCCCACACUGGUACGUAGACACGGACCAGACUCCUACGGGAGGCAGCAGUGAGGAAUAUUGGACAAUGGGCGCAAGCCUGAUCCAGCCAUGCCGCGUGCAGGAUGACGGUCCUAUGGAUUGUAAACUGCUUUUAUACGAGAAGAAACACUGCUACGUGUAGCAGCUUGACGGUAUCGUAAGAAUAAGGAUCGGCUAACUCCGUG
rnacentral:rRNA from 1 species